UACGGAGGGUGCAAGCGUUUCUCGGAAUUACUGGGCGUAAAGGGCGGGUAGGCGGUUUCGUAUGUCUGGCGUGAAAACCCCGGGCUCACCACGGGAAGGGCGUCGGAAACUGCGAGACUAGAGUACCGGAGAGGGAGGUGGAAUUCCAGGUGUAACGGUGAAAUGCGUAGAUAUCUGGAAGAACACCGGUGGCGAAGGCGGCCUCCUGGACGGUGACUGACGCUGAGACGCGAAAGCGUGGGGAGCAAACAGG
rnacentral:rRNA from 1 species